GGGGCUAUAGCUCAGUUGGUAGAGCACUUCCAUGGCAUGGAAGGGGUCAGGAGUUCAAUUCUCCUUAGCUCCACCA
rnacentral:tRNA from 1 species